UACGUAGGGGGCAAGCGUUGUCCGGAAUCAUUGGGCGUAAAGCGCGUGUAGGCGGCUUGGUAAGUCCGCUCUGAAAGCCCGGGGCUCAACCCCGGGAGGCGGGUGGAUACUGUCAAGCUCGAGUCCGGAAGAGGCGAGUGGAAUUCCUGGUGUAGCGGUGAAAUGCGCAGAUAUCAGGAGGAACACCGGUGGCGAAAGCGGCUCACUGGACCACAACUGACGCUGAUGCACGAAAGCUAGGGGAGCAAACAGG
rnacentral:rRNA from 1 species